CUCGGCCUGGCACGGGUGACCCCGACCCCCGCGCGCGGAGGGUGGUCCUACCCUACACCUUCUUUGCGGCUCGUUACUUUCCAGCCAAGCCGCAUUCUUCUCUCGCAAGAAUGAAGAAAUGACAUCUUCUGGCUCCUAAGCUAAAAAAUCACCUGAACAAAUUUGGUAAUUAAUUAAAAAGGAAUAAUUUCUGAGGCUGAAAAUAAUUCAGCAGGAGCCAGUAAGAACCAACGAAGCCAAUAAACUAUGUUUAUUGUUAAUCAAGAGUUCUCUGAAUGCCUAUAAAGAGAGUCAAGAUUGUAAUACACUUCGGGUUGAUGUUACGGCCACAGAAUUAAAUUUUUCUGAAAAUUUGUAAGAAGAAAACAAUGAUGCAUCUAAUCCAAAUGGCACUUCUAUUUGGCUCAAGAAGAUUCAAAUUUCAUCUUCUAUGGUUUUCUACUCACUCAAUCCCACCCCUCUGCUAUCAACAGUCUGUGUUCUGGGCUCCCCACAAUUCCCUGUUUUGAGCACCUGCAUUAAAAAGCGGGGAGGCAGGCCAUGGGGAAAUACAGUCUUCAAAUCCUGGAAGGGGAUGUUGUAGUGUUGACCUUCAUGCUGCUCCCCAUGCUUGGCCUAUGAAAUCAAAAUACAAAUAGGUAAUGGGGACUCACACAAAGUGACAAAGACUUUGCAAAAGUAGAUUGGCCUUGUUAAACCAUGCUGGAGAAACAUUCAUCUACUCAUCUAGAAAAGGUAUCUUUCUUUCAUUUCUUCUCUCACCCCAAAAUGCUGGUGGUUGUCCCUAAAUCCACAGUGUGUAUAUGAAGCUACUGGUGGCUUGAAUGAUGAAGCCAGUUGCUCAGCAACUAGAUGUGGGAAUGCCAGAGACAAUUCCUGCCACCUGGAUUCUUCUGUGGUGUAUACAGAGAUGCUCCAAUCAUGUGACAAGAUCAUCUGCAUGCUGCUGUUUCCAUAGAAACCCUAGAGGAACUGGCAGAUAAAGGGACUACAAUUUCAAAGGGAGCUGAAAGAUAUUUCAAUGACCUCAUUCAUUUAUUCCAUUCCAUUUUAUGCUUGUGAAAAUAGGUGAACACUAGAGACAUAAAUAAAAUAGACCCUGCUGAGAUGGUGUUUUGGGUAACAGGGUUAUUUUUUUCUUCUGCACAGCCCAUGUUAACAUGGGAAGACUCAGACAGCAGGGACAGGGAUAGAAGGAGAGGAAAAGAAAGUUAUUCAUUACCUUCACAUUUAAGGACAGACCACACAGCUAAUUUCAUUUAUGAGAGGCAUAACAAUGCUGGGGAAGGAGAAAAGAAAUCAAUAUCUAGUCUAAUGGGACCUGAACUAGAAAAUGCAACACUGGAUACUGCUAGAAUGCUGGCUUCUGCUGACGAACUUAAUUUUAAAUGCUGCUCUUCUCAUAAGAUAAUUAGUUCCCUCUCCAGACACUAGGAAGUCCAUUUUAAAAAGUGGAGACAGCACUAGAUUGGUUAUUAGGAAAACUGUGUUCUGUACCUGUCCUGCUGUGUGAUCUUGGGCAGGUAAUUUGAUUUCUCUAGCAUUCUUCAUACCAGGGAUUGGUAAACUAUGGCCAACCACCUGUUUUUGUAAAGAAAAGGUUUAAUGGAACACAGCCAUACCCAUUUGAUUACGGCAGAGUUGAGUAGCUGUGAAAGAGUUGGUCAUGGUCCACCAGCCAAAAUAUUUACUAUCUGGUCCUUUAAGGAAAGAUCAAUAAUAACUGCUAAACUUACCAU